CCGCACGGGUGAGUAACACGUAUGCAAUCCACCUGUAACAGGGGAUAACCCGGAGAAAUCCGGACUAAUACCCCAUAAUAUGGGCGCUCCGCAUGGAGAGCCCAUUAAAGAGAGCAAUUUUGGUUACAGACGAGCAUGCGCUCCAUUAGCCAGUUGGCGGGGUAACGGCCCACCAAAGCGACGAUGGAUAGGGGUUCUGAGAGGAAGGUCCCCCACAUUGGAACUGAGACACGGUCCAA
rnacentral:rRNA from 1 species